rnacentral:rRNA from 1 species
CACGUAGGCACCAAGCGUUGUCCGGAUUUAUUGGGCGUAAAGAGCUCGUAGGCGGCUUUGCAAGUUGGGUGUGAAAGCCCUCGGCUCAACCGAGGAAUUGCGCUCAAUACUGCCGAGCUCGAGAGAGACAGAGGUAAGCGGAACUAAUGGUGGAGCGGUGAAAUGCGUUGAUAUCAUUAGGAACACCGGUGGCGAAGGCGGCUUACUGGGUCUUUUCUGACGCUGAGGCACGAAAGCCAGGGGAGCGAACGGG